rnacentral:rRNA from 1 species
GAACGGGUGAGUAAUAUAUCGGAACGUACCCUGGAGUGGGGGAUAACGUAGCGAAAGUUACGCUAAUACCGCAUACGAUCUAAGGAUGAAAGUGGGGGAUUCGCAAGAACCUCAUGCUCCUGGAGCGGCCGAUAUCUGAUUAGCUAGUUGGUAGGGUAAGA